GAAAACGUGAAAACUACCGUUGGAUCCAUAAAUGGAUGUUUGAUAUUUGUCCAUGUCACUAAAAGUAAAAAAAAAAAACUCCCAGAUUCAACUAUGAGUAAAAAUUUUAUUGGGAGUAAAAUUUGUACUAUUGAUGAUAUGGACAAAUAUUAGAUGUUCAUUUUUAAAUCCAACAAUAGUUUUUAGGUUUCC
rnacentral:pre_miRNA from 2 species